rnacentral:rRNA from 1 species
UACGUAGGGGGCAAGCGUUGUCCGGAGUUACUGGGCGUAAAGGGCGCGUAGGCGGUCAGCACAAGUCAGUUGUGAAAUCUCCGGGGCUUAACUCGGAAAGGUCAACUGAUACUGUGCGACUAGAGUGCGGAAGGGGCAACUGGAAUUCUCGGUGUAGCGGUGAAAUGCGUAGAUAUCGAGAGGAACACCUGCGGCGAAGGCGGGUUGCUGGGCCGACACUGACGCUGAUGCGCGAAAGCCAGGGGAGCGAACGGG